rnacentral:rRNA from 1 species
UACAGAGGGUGCGAGCGUUGUCCGGAAUCACUGGGCGUAAAGCGCACGUAGGCGGCUUUGUAAGUUAGAGGUGAAAGCCCGGGGCUCAACUCCGGAAUUGCCUUUAAGACUGCAUCGCUAGAAUUGUGGAGAGGUAAGUGGAAUUCCGAGUGUAGAGGUGAAAUUCGUAGAUAUUAGGAGGAACACCUGAGGCGAAGGCGGCCACCUGGCAAGACAUUGACGCUGAGGCGCGAAAGUGCGGGGAGCAAACAGG